UUGAUCCCCAGAACCCACAUGUUUUCCUUUAAAAGGUGAGGCAGGGUGGUGCACGCUUGUAAAUUCCAAUACUGGGAGGCUGUUUCCAAGCUGAUUCCAGAGGCUUACUGGCUGGCUACCUUGGUCUAAUCAGUCAGUUCCAGGGUAAUGAGACUUUAUCUCAAUAAGCAAAGUGGACAGCUCCUAAGGAAUGGCACCGGAAGUUAUCCUCUGACCUCCACAUGCAUGUGUAUAUGUAUACAAUGUACUCACACAGGAAGGCAUGUACACCACACACAUGUACAACUCAAGUCAAUGGACUACCAGAUGUAUCCUUUUGUGUCUGGUUCGUUUGCUCAACUCUGUGUCUUGUAAGACUCACCCCCAUCCUGUGAGGGAUGGUUUUCUGUGUGUGCUGCUGUGUCAUACAGAGGAGGGACCUAGUGGCAGUUCUCCAUUGUAUAGUUAAUGGCCUCCUUGGUGCCUUUCCUCACCGUGAUGCCAUGGACAUCCUUACCCUGGUCUCCUGGAAAUAUGAGUAUACCUUUGAAGACAGAAUUGUGAGGUAUACCAGUUGGCUAUAGUUCUGUCAUAAGUGUUUUAAGAGAACUGCUCUGGCUUACUAAGUUGAAUAAUACAGGACUCACAGAAAGCCAGAGACAGAAGCGGAUACAAGGAUGUGAGUGAAAAGCUUACUGGAUAAUGGUGGGGAGGAGGCUGGUUAGACCAGAAGUCCAGCUGCCUGGAUGCUAAAUAGUGGGCUGUGGCCCGCACAUAUGGACUCAAAGGAGAGGAAGAAGAAAUCCUGUUGGGAGUUUGCACUGGCUUCUCUCUCCUUCCUGGCCCAGUGUGAUGUAGGCCGUUCUGCUCAGCCAUGCCUUCUCUACGAUGAUGGGCCGAGAUCUGAAAGAAAUCCUUCUUUCCUUCUAAUUGUCAGUUUUGGUGAAUGUGAAGGGAGACGCUGGGACUGCCUAUGACUGCGUAGCAUCCCUGGAUCACCAAUUCUGCUACGCUCUGCCGGAGUCGUCAUAUGAAUUCCCGUUUCCGCUGGCGAUCCUGGCUCUGACUUCACAGUGCAAGUCACUUCAUUGCUUUGCUCGCUAACCAUUCUAACUGGUGCGGGGUGGCAUCUCACCUUGGUCACAGGGGCUAGGCAUACAACCUGACAAUGAUCAAGCCACACGUGACACAAACUACCCUCCAUCUCUGCAUCCAGACUCUCUGCAAGGGCCAGCUUCUACCUCCUAACAGUCAGAGCCAGAAAAAGUUAAACUCACACAACCGAUUGGUACCAUAAAGUGUGCCCUUGCCAACACCCUGCAGUUGGAGCACCCUGAAGCCUCCUUAGAGUUUCUCUGUGAAAUUUUCCACUCCUCAGUCUCUUCUGCAGCCCUGCUGAGCCUGAGGUUGGUGGCAGACAGAAGCCCUUGGUUAUCUGCAUCUGCACAAACAGGCCCUGCUUGCUCUCACUUGAGCACUUACUGUCCUUUUCCAUGGAGUCAUAAUCUCCGAGCUUCACAGCCUCAUGCCUGGAUAGCACCUGGAAUGCUGUGUGCUCUGGCAUGAUAUUUGUUGACUGACUAUAGGAACGCCUGCCCUUGUUUUGCUCUUACCCUCAACUAACUUUUUUGGUUUGGUUUUUGUUUUUCAGUCUCAGGAACUGUCCAGGUGUGGAAGGAAGGCCCGAACCUCUGGGAAACCUCCGAGCUCCCAGUCAAACUACUUCCUUUCCAGUCCAGUCCCAACUACCUCCUGGCUUCCUCACCUGUCUGAGCAGUCCAUGCCUGCUCUGCAUGGAGAGAGGCUUCAAUGUCUUUGGAAUGGCUCAGGGUAUUCUGGGUAAAGUUCUAGUUCUUUCCAAGGGAAAGACAAGAAUGUAGUGUGGAGGAAUGUAGCCCCCAGGUAGAAAGAGUACAGGCAACUGGUCAGCAGCCAGAACCUUUCUUGCAAUUCGCAAGUGCCUUGGGGGAAGAAUGGCUCAGUAAGACCAAAUGUCUCUCUGUCCUCUAUUGCUCUGGUCAGAAAUAUAGUUCAGGUUGUGCCUCUCCUGGGGGAAAGGAUUUUUUGUGAAGGCUUUGUUAGAAGAUGUCCUGCCUGCAUCGUUGCUCAUAGGCUUUCAAAAGACCCUUCCAGAGCCAACGUUCAGAAAGUGAGCCCGGGCAAAAGCUCCUCAGACCUGGGAGGGCUUGGGACUCCAAGACUCCAAACUCUGGAAGAUGGGCUUAGGGGUAUGCAAGAGAAGUGAGCCCGGAUAUGGCCUUUUACCCGAUGAAUCAAAUACUAAGGAGACCAUUGUGA